CCAACUGGGUAUUUCGAGUGCAGACUUUGGGGGACAUUCUUUUCGGAUUGGGGCCGCAACUGAAGCCUCCCGUUUAGGUUUUUCGGACCAGGCCAUUCAGAGGAUUGGCAGAUGGGAAUCGGGGAGGUUUUGGUCCUAUGUACGGCCCACACGUCUGAUCGGUUUCCCCCUUGUGUUUUCUCCACAGGGCCCGGCCGACGGAUCUGGCUGAUCGGUCAUUCUUACAUCUACUGGGCUCACCUGCGGGCAGGGGUACGCCCGGGUGGGACACGGCUCGGAAUACCUCGGGAGCUGGCGGAGGUCCGGUGGUUCGGGUUCCGGG